rnacentral:rRNA from 1 species
GACGAACGCUGGCGGCGUGCUUAACACAUGCAAGUCGAGCGGUAAGGCCCUUUCGGGGGUACACGAGCGGCGAACGGGUGAGUAACACGUGGGUGACCUGCCCUCAGCUCUGGGAUAAGCCCGGGAAACUGGGUCUAAUACCGGAUAUGACUCCAUGACGCAUGUUGUGGGGUGGAAAGCCUUGUGGGGCUGAGGAUGGGCCCGCGGCCUAUCAGCUUGUUGGUGGGGUGAUGGCCUACCAAGGCGACGACGGGUAGCCGGCCUGAGAGGGCGACCGGCCACACUGGGACUGAGAUACGGCCCAGACUCCUACGGGAGGCAGCAGUGGGGAAUCUUGCGCAAUGGGCGAAAGCCUGACGCAGCGACGCCGCGUGAGGGAUGACGGCCU